GACGAACGCUGGCGGCGUGCUUAACACAUGCAAGUCGAACGGAAAGGCCCUGCUUGUGUGGGGUGCUCGAGUGGCGAACGGGUGAGUAACACGAGAGUAACCUGCCCUUGACUUUGGGAUAACUUCAGGAAACUGGGGCUAAUACCGGAUAGGAGCUCCUGCUGCAUGGUGGGGGUUGGAAAGUUUCGGCGGUUGGGGAUGGACUCGCGGCUUAUCAGCUUGUUGGUGGGGUAGUGGCUUACCAAGGCUUUGACGGGUAGCCGGCCUGAGAGGGUGACCGGCCACAUUGGGACUGAGAUACGGCCCAGACUCCUACGGGAGGCAGCAGUGGGGAAUAUUGCACAAUGGGCGGAAGCCUGAUGCAGCAACGCCGCGUGCGGGAUGACGGCCUUCGGGUUGUAAACCGCUUUCGCCUGUGACGAAGCGUGAGUGACGGUAAUGGGUAAAGAAGCACCGGCUAACUACGUG
rnacentral:rRNA from 1 species